UACGCUCCAGUUCCUUUUCUUCGUGUUCUGCAAUGCGUUUCUUUUCCUUGUCUUGUUUAGCCUCUUCAUAGAAGUAGGAUACAGAGCCCCAAAGAGCAAGAAAAAGAGAUAUUCCCUUUUCAGGUGUAAAUUUCUCACCGAACAUAAAUACAGCCAGGAUCUCCGAAACAGGUAGCAGAGCCGAAAUUAGUAUACCAGAGAGUAUUGAGUUGUUGCAGAAAAUCACUCCAAUGGCUCCCAAGAAAAACAGCUGCCAAAGAAAUGCAUCUGCUGCUAGUACUAAAUAAUACAUCGUUUGUCCAAGCUCAAAACUCGCAGCUUCUCUAGGGAUCGCCUGCAAGAAUAAGUCAAUGCAAUUAGUAACAAGUAGCUCUCCAAUUCUUGAUUUACAUCUGAUUUAAAUAGCCUAUAACAGUGAAUUUAGAAAAUCUGAACCUUUAGAAAAAUACUUCACAAACUUUUUCAAGUCCAUAAUCUACUAAAUACGUGCAAGUGAAGGAAAUAUUUUAGUCGUGCUAGAUACGGACCUGGAAAUCAUUAUUGAUUACCAUCCCAACGACGCAGAGGAUUGUAGCAGAAAGAGAUAUGAUGAUCUGCAUCUCGAUGACUAAAGAAUAAGUGACGGUCUGUUUCGCUUUCUUGUAUAUGAGCUCAACAGAUGGCAAGACAAAUCCAUACAAAACUGCAACUCCCAGGGUCAUCAGGAAUCCAAUCAAGAGCACGUGAAGAUACAUAUCGGCAAUAGAGAGCGGGAUCAACCAUAGAAGGCGUCCUGCCUUGCAGAGACCAUAAAUUACAGUCACACGAAGGAAUCAACUGGCUUAUGCAAGACAGGUCACACUUCUAUAACAGAUAAACUGCUCUGAAUUAUACAGAGAGAGGUGGGAGAGAGAGAGAGAUCGAGAGAGAGGGAGAGAGAUCAGACAUAGAAGGUGUCCUGCCUUGCAAAAUCCAUAGAUAACAAGGUACAAGUAGAAAUCAAUUGGCUUAUGCAAGACAGGUCACACUUCUGUGACUGAAAACUGGCUCCCGUGAGGAGGAAGUAGAAGAGAGAGAUGUGUGUUUUGCAGCGGCUACGAACCUUUAACUUGUUUAUAUACACGUAGGGAGCCUAACUAGGGUAAACUUCAAACUCAUCUUUUGUGUUUAUCCCUUUCCAAUCCACCAAAUUGGGCCCAUAGCCCAUUAAAAUAAUAAACAUAUUAAUUAUGUCAAUAAUUAUUUCUUAAUAUUCCCUCCAUCCCAAAUUAGAUGAACUCGUUGACUUUGGGCACACAAUUUAAGGUUCAUUAACCGCAUAGCUACAUGACUUAUUUUUGGAAUUUUAUUUUUGUAAAUAAAAAUUAAAAUAUGAAAUUUUCAUUUACAAAAAAAAAACAAAAAAUAAAUUUCGAAAGUAGACUGUCAAUGCAUCUAAAAUUAUGUGCCAAAGUCAACUAGCUCAUCUAAUUUGGGAUGAAGUUAGUAUUAACCAAUUCUGUCAUAGAGAAAAUUAAUUUCCGUACCAACCAAAAUUCGAAUCCGAUCAAAUUUUUUAAUGUUUUGGACCGAGCCGAACUAAUAUCGUAGAUGGGCUCCAAGGAGGAUGAUGAAACAGACAUAACUUGAUGAGUAAUAUCCCGAUAAUUUCAAAUGAUAUUCUGGAUUUCAUCAAGUAAUCUGUAUUUGUUUAGAAAGUUAGAUUUGGAUUUCAAUUAAAAUCCUGAUAUUUAAAUAUUGAUAAAUACGCAAACUUAAAAUGAUAACUCAAAUCUUAUUAUUUGAAAUCCAACAUUUGAAAUGAAAUACAUAUUUUCAAACGGCCUCUUGCAACAAUUUACAGCGAGAUCAGACUUGCUAGAGGAAUGAGCAAAUAAAAUCAUACAACGUUUUUACAGGCUUGACAGAGUGUUUGUUUUUCAAGAUGCUACACCAACACAAGUACACAAUGUAAGAUCAAGGUAAAGUUGCACUCUGUUACUGUGGUGGAUCAAGAUUUGAAGCUUUCUUGUGGAUCUUUUUAUUCUGGAACUCUCCAUAGAAGUAGGAUAUGAAACCCCAGAGAGAUAGAGUUAGGGAAAUGGCCUUCUCUACUUGGAACUUGUCGUGAAAGAACAGUAUUGCCAAGGUCUCUGUCACUGGCAGAAGCGUCGCGAUUAUAAUGCCAGAGAGCAAAGAAGAGGCACAGAAAAUGACUCCUGUUGCUCCCAGGAAGAACAACUGCCAGAGGAUCGCGUUAAGGAUCAGAGUUAAAUAAUAUACCGUGAUUCCAAGCUCAAACUCCCUUGAUUCUCUUGAAAUAGCCUGCAAUGUUGCGGUGCAUCAAGUGGACAGAAAUAUUAAAUAUGUUAAUGUUGAAAUAUAACAUAAGAUCCAUUUGGCGUUUUUAGAUGGACUGUUCUCUCAACAUGGUAUCAGAGGAAGGUCUCAAAUGGAUCUUAUGAUAUAUUUCAGCAGUGCUUGUCUACUAGUGAAUGAGAUUUACCGUGAAGUCAUGGUUUACCAGCAUGCCUAUUGCACAAACAACGGUGGCGAAGAAUGACAUAACCACCUGCAUCUCCAUGACCACAGAAUAGUUUAUGGGCUGUUUAGCCUUCUUGCACAUCAACUCAAUCGCUGGUAGUAUAAAUCCAUACAAUGCGGCUGCUCCAAGAGUCAUAAAGAAGCCUAAAAAGUAUUGCUUGUUGGACUCAUCAGCAGGACGAUCAGAGCUAGUAUGAAAUGCAAGAACUACAGCUCCAAUACAUAACAAAAAGACAGCAUUGAUGGUGAAGCUUGUAAACUUUUGCCUAACCAGAAGAAAUGCAAAUCCAGCCGUAAAAGCCAACUGAGUAGCAAUUAUAAGAGCAGAGGUUGAUACAGGAAGGCGAGCCACACCAUAGGAAUACAUGUAGUCAUCAGCCCCGGUGAGAAUGCCAAUAAUUGCACACGGAAUGAUGAGAGCCGGUUUGAUGGAUACGAGCUUGUUCCCUGGACUUCCCUUCCUCCGACGAUACAGAUAAGAGAUUAUGAUUGGAAAAAAGAGAAAAGGCCAGCCAGCGGUUUCUAGACAGCUUGACAACCAAACUCGCUUCCCCCCUUUGACAAAGUACAAUCGCUGCACUUGAGGACCACCGCAAUUCCCUAAGCCUAACAUCAUGCAAUUUAAGACGAGGAGGAGCCUCUUCAUGGAUUUGCUCAUUCCGUGCUCAUUAUAGUCUAGUAUAUCGUUUGCAACUGGAAUAGCCAUUGCAUUAACUGAUUAUCCUGUCAACUCGCAAAACCUGCAAUACACAGAGAAUUAUAUAUGUUUAGUACAUAUGGAGCUGGACUCGCAAAAACUUAAUGCUGAAGUAAACAUAACUAGUAAUUAUUUCAAUCACAGUAUACUUGGUGCCACAGUCUUCACAAACAAAUGUGAAGAGUGCAUCGUAUACCAGAGCUUGAUCAAGAUAAUUCUACAGGACUCCGAAAGCCUACCUGUCAGGCUGUCACAAACUCAAUAUCCUCAGAAGGUAACAUCUACGUCUCUACGGUUUAACUAUAUGUACUGCACCUCUGUUUUGUUAUUCUUUGGAGACAUGAAAAUGUCUACUCAUAGUGGUACUAAUCAUCCUACCACUAAUUAAAAGGUAUUCGCGCAACUAAAUCAGCUACAGCGGAAAGCAGAGGUGGAGACUGCAAUAUCCUUAGCCCCACAUAAACCUGAUAAGAUUGUUGUUAUCAGCGCACUUUGAGUCCUGCUUUGUUGCAGGGGCAGUUGAAGUACAACUUUAAGGAGUUUCCCUUUUAAUUAUCUAUUCGCGUAGGAUGUAAAAUAAAAAUUGGAAGCUUAUAAUUUUGGAUGUAAGAGAUCUUUCUAACUAACUGGUGGUCAAGUACUCGAGAUGUGUCUGGUUAAAAGUUUAGAUAGUACCUGCUGCAUAAACACUCAGAUUGAUACUGCAACAAAAAAAUUAGGAUCAAAAUCUCUUUAAUUGCCAACCACCUGUUACCCAUCGGAAAAAAGAAAGCAUCAAACUUUUUGAAAUUAGCAAGAAAAACCUUUUAAAUGAGAAUAUCUGUGAUUUGUACAUGAAUAAGGAAUUACAGUUACUGGCUCGUAGAGUUUGAAUGUAGAAUUGUUUGCACCAGAAAAUGAUUUACAUUCGAUAUUCAUAAGAAAGUUAUUCUAAGCCCCAAUCAAUCUGCAAAAGUUAGUGAGCAAUUGUUUCCUACCAAACCCCAAACUCAAAUAGAGAAUUCAAGCACUUUGAAAGGAACUCAACUCGAGAUGAUCUAAAAGUUUGAUGUAAAUGUUUACCAAACGGAUGUAGUUUCAUUGCUUUUUGUAAUGCGCUUACUUUUUUUUCCAUAAUAAUCAUUACUAGGUUGGUAAAUUUUCUAAUGAAAAUAAGUUUCAUCUCUGAUAAGGUUCUGGUGACACCAAUAACUCUGAUAAGUUUCUGGUGACACCAAUAACCUCUUUGCCACUGGUGUUUNNNNNNNNNNNNNNNNNNCAGUUUAUGCUCUCGAAUUCAUGAACCAUAAUUUCAAUAGAUUCCAGAAAUUUUCAUAACUCAUAAUUAGCUACAGCUACUAGAAAAAUAAAAAACUAACAAGACUACAUUGUUUUCGCUAGUUUUACUUCUGCAAUACUAUCUGAGUAAUAUCCGUAAACUGAUAUUCAUCUUGUGCAAUACGCUCCAGUUCCUUUUCUUCGUGUUCUGCAAUGCGUUUCUUUUCCUUGUCUUGUUUAGCCUCUUCAUAGAAGUAGGAUACAGAGCCCCAAAGAGCAAGAAAAAGAGAUAUUCCCUUUUCAGGUGUAAAUUUCUCACCGAACAUAAAUACAGCCAGGAUCUCAGAAACAGGUAGCAGAGCCGAAAUUAGUAUACCAGAGAGUAUUGAGUUGUUGCAGAAAAUCACUCCAAUGGCUCCCAAGAAAAACAGCUGCCAAAGAAAUGCAUCUGCUGCUAGUACUAAAUAAUACAUCGU
rnacentral:lncRNA from 1 species